rnacentral:rRNA from 1 species
UACGGAGGGUGCGAGCGUUGUCCGGAAUCAUUGGGCGUAAAGGGCGCGUAGGUGGCCCGGUCAGUCCGUGGUGAAAUCUCCCGGCUUAACCGGGAGGGGUUAUGCCAGACUGCAAUUCUAGAGGACGAGAGAGGGGGGUGGAAUUCCGGGUGUAGUGGUGAAAUGCGUAGAGAUCCGGAGGAACCCCAGAGGCGAAGGCGGCCCCCUGGCUCGUACCUGACGCUCAGCCACGAAAGCAUGGGGAGCGAACGGG